GUUCUUUUCAAAGAACUCAUGGGAAUUUUAAGUGGUGACCCAUCAAGAAAGGGAAGAGUAAUGACACGGCUUUUGGUGAUACAGCAGUGUGUUGUGUUUUUUGGCAUCAGUCAGUAGUGUAACAAGG
rnacentral:snoRNA from 1 species